GUUUUUCUGAUUUUCAAACUUGGAAAUCUUUUUAGAGACACUGACAACUGGGUCACCAUGCACUUGAUGGAUUUAGAGGAAGAGCUAGACCAGGCAACCUAAUGCAGCCCUAAUUGAUUGAAGAAUUGAUUUUCUGUUGUUCCACUGGGGUUGUGGUGGAUCCAGAGCAUAUGGAAAGAGCAUAUGGAAACCCAGGAAGCGAGGGGAGAUAUGCGAUUCCAUUGUGUAGCCAAUUCACCAACCGGUGGAUGUUGUUGGGAGGUGGGUGGAUACUGGAUAACCUGGAAGAAGCCCAAGGGGACACAGGGAGUAACUCUGAUGUAUCAGAAUCAAACCACUGAACUGGGAGCUGUGAGGUGGCCACACGAUCCACUGCACCAACAUGCUUCUCAAACAUUAGUAUGCUACAUGGAAUAUGCUUAAUAA